GAAUGUAUCCUGAGUACGGCGGAACACGUGAAAUUCCGUCGGAAUCUGGGAGGACCAUCUCCCAAGGCUAAAUACUCCCUAGUGAUCGAUAGUGAACCAGUACCGUGAGGGAAAGGUGAAAAGCACCCCGGAAGGGGAGUGAAAGAGAUCCUGAAACCGUGUGCCUACAAAUAGUCAGAGCCCGUUAACGGGUGAUGGCGUGCCUUUUGUAGAAUGAACCGGCGAGUUACGAUCCCGUGCGAGGUUAAGCUGAAGAGGCGGAGCCGCAGCGAAAGCGAGUCUGAAUAGGGCGUUUAGUACGUGGUCGUAGACCCGAAACCAGGUGAUCUACCCAUGUCCAGGGUGAAGUUCAGGUAACACUGAAUGGAGGCCCGAACCCACGCACGUUGAAAAGUGCGGGGAUGAGGUGUGGGUAGCGGAGAAAUUCCAAUCGAACCUGGAGAUAGCUGGUUCUCCCCGAAAUAGCUUUAGGGCUAGCCUUAAGUGUAAGAGUCUUGGAGGUAGAGCACUGAUUGGACUAGGGGUCCUCAUCGGAUUACCGAAUUCAGUCAAACUCCGAAUGCCAAUGACUUAUCCUUAGGAGUCAGACUGCGAGUGAUAAGAUCCGUAGUCAAAAGGGAAACAGCCCAGACCGCCAGCUAAGGUCCCAAAGUGUGUAUUAAGUGGAAAAGGAUGUGGAGUUGCUUAGACAACUAGGAUGUUGGCUUAGAAGCAGCCACCAUUUAAAGAGUGCGUAAUAGCUCACUAGUCGAGUGACUCUGCGCCGAAAAUGUACCGGGGCUAAAUACACCACCGAAGCUGCGGAUUGAUACCGAAUGGUAUCAGUGGUAGGGGAGCGUUCUAAGGACAGUGAAGUCAGACCGGAAGGACUGGUGGAGUGCUUAGAAGUGAGAAUGCCGGUAUGAGUAGCGAAAGACGGGUGAGAAUCCCGUCCACCGAAUGCCUAAGGUUUCCUGAGGAAGGCUCGUCCGCUCAGGGUUAGUCAGGACCUAAGCCGAGGCCGACAGGCGUAGGCGAUGGACAACAGGUUGAUAUUCCUGUACCACCUCUUUAUCGUUUGAGCAAUGGAGGGACGCAGAAGGAUAGAAGAAGCGUGCGAUUGGUUGUGCACGUCCAAGCAGUUAGGCUGAUAAGUAGGCAAAUCCGCUUAUCGUAAAGGCUGAGCUGUGAUGGGGAAGCUCCUUAUGGAGCGAAGUCUUUGAUUCCCCGCUGCCAAGAAAAGCUUCUAGCGAGAUAAAAGGUGCCUGUACCGCAAACCGACACAGGUAGGCGAGGAGAGAAUCCUAAGGUGUGCGAGAGAACUCUGGUUAAGGAACUCGGCAAAAUGACCCCGUAACUUCGGGAGAAGGGGUGCUUUCUUAACGGAAAGCCGCAGUGAAUAGGCCCAAGCGACUGUUUAGCAAAAACACAGCUCUCUGCGAAGCCGUAAGGCGAAGUAUAGGGGGUGACACCUGCCCGGUGCUGGAAGGUUAAGGAGAGGGGUUAGCGUAAGCGAAGCUCUGAACUGAAGCCCCAGUAAACGGCGGCCGUAACUAUAACGGUCCUAAGGUAGCGAAAUUCCUUGUCGGGUAAGUUCCGACCCGCACGAAAGGUGUAACGAUUUGGGCACUGUCUCAACCAGAGACUCGGUGAAAUUAUAGUACCUGUGAAGAUGCAGGUUACCCGCGACAGGACGGAAAGACCCCGUGGAGCUUUACUGUAGCCUGAUAUUGAAUUUUGGUACAGUUUGUACAGGAUAGGCGGGAGCCUUUGAAACCGGAGCGCUAGCUUCGGUGGAGGCGCUGGUGGGAUACCGCCCUGACUGUAUUGAAAUUCUAACCUACGGGUCUUAUCGACCCGGGAGACAGUGUCAGGUGGGCAGUUUGACUGGGGCGGUCGCCUCCUAAAGUGUAACGGAGGCGCCCAAAGGUUCCCUCAGAAUGGUUGGAAAUCAUUCGUAGAGUGCAAAGGCAUAAGGGAGCUUGACUGCGAGACCUACAAGUCGAGCAGGGACGAAAGUCGGGCUUAGUGAUCCGGUGGUUCCGCAUGGAAGGGCCAUCGCUCAACGGAUAAAAGCUACCCCGGGGAUAACAGGCUUAUCUCCCCCAAGAGUCCACAUCGACGGGGAGGUUUGGCACCUCGAUGUCGGCUCAUCGCAUCCUGGGGCUGUAGUCGGUCCCAAGGGUUGGGCUGUUCGCCCAUUAAAGCGGUACGCGAGCUGGGUUCAGAACGUCGUGAGACAGUUCGGUCCCUAUCCGUCGUGGGCGUAGGAAAUUUGAGAGGAGCUGUCCUUAGUACGAGAGGACCGGGAUGGACGCACCGCUGGUGUACCAGUUGUUCUGCCAAGGGCAUAGCUGGGUAGCUAUGUGCGGAAGGGAUAAGUGCUGAAAGCAUCUAAGCAUGAAGCCCCCCUCAAGAUGAGAUUUCCCAUAGCGUAAGCUAGUAAGAUCCCUGAAAGAUGAUCAGGUUGAUAGGUUCGAGGUGGAAGCAUGGUGACAUGUGGAGCUGACGAAUACUAAUAGAUCGAGGACUUAACCAU
rnacentral:rRNA from 1 species